rnacentral:rRNA from 1 species
AACGAACGCUGGCGGCAUGCCUAACACAUGCAAGUCGAACGAGACAUUCGGGUCUAGGGGCGCACGGGUGCGUAACGCGUGGGAACAUGCCCUUAGGUUCGGACUAACUCCCCGAAAGGGGUGCUAAUACCGGUUAAUGUCUUCGGACCAAUGAUUUAUCGCCUUUGGAUGGGCCCGCGUUGGAUUGGCUAGUUGGUAGGGUAAAAGCCUACCAAGGCGACGAUCCAUAGCUGGUCUGAGAGGAUGAUCAGCCACACUGGGACUGAGACACGGCCCAGACUGCGACGGGACGGAGCAGUGGGGAAUAUUAGACGAGGGGCGAAAGCCUGAUCCAGCAGUGCCGCGGGAGAGAUGAAGGCCUUAGUGUUCUAAAGCUCUCAUAGCCGGGAUGAUAAUGACAGUACCUGGAGAAUAAGCCCCGGCUAACUACGUG